rnacentral:tRNA from 1 species
CUCAUCGUUAACAGGUUCGGGAACAGCGACUCAAUUGUCGUUUGAGUCGUUCUUGAACAGUCGGCGCGGGUAUGCCGUUCCUGGUGGCGCGAUGACGC